UGGGGAAUUUUGGACAAUGGGCGCAAGCCUGAUCCAGCAAUGCCGCGUGCAGGAUGAAGGCCUUCGGGUUGUAAACUGCUUUUGUACGGAACGAAACGGCUCUGGUUAAUACCUGGGGCUAAUGACGGUACCGUAAGAAUAAGCACCGGCUAACUACGUGCCAGCAGCCGCGGUAAUGCGUAGGGUGCGAGCGUUAAUCGGAAUUACUGGGCGUAAAGCGUGCGCAGGCGGUGAUGUAAGACAGAUGUGAAAUCCCCGGGCUCAACCUGGGAACUGCCUUUGUGACUGCAUAGCUAGAGUACGGUAGAGGGGGAUGGAAUUCCGCGUGUAGCAGUGAAAUGCGUAGAUAUGCGGAGGAACACCGAUGGCGAAGGCAAUCCCCUGGACCUGUACUGACGCACAUGCACGAAAGCGUGGGGAGCAAACA
rnacentral:rRNA from 1 species